GCGGAAAUAGCUCAGUUGGUAGAGCACAACCUUGCCAAGGUUGGGGUCGCGGGUUCGAGUCCCGUUUUCCGCUC
rnacentral:tRNA from 2 species